AACGCACAUUGCGCCUCCUGGUAUUCCGGGAGGCAUGCCUGUUCGAGCGUCAUGAAGAGGAUAUUUCAAGCUCUUUUUGCUUGGUCCUGAAGGUUGAGUGUUGCCCUUGUACUCAUUCACCUUUGAAAUUUACUGGCGGACUGCUUCGUGUUCCUUUUGGCGUUAUAGGAUAACUCUUUCGCUUGGACUCGAUGGCCUGUCCUGCCCCAAAACCCCCAACUAUUUUGACGUUGACCUCGGAUCAGGUAGGGAUACCCGCUGAACUUAA
rnacentral:misc_RNA from 1 species